AUUGAACGCUGGCGGCAGGCCUAACACAUGCAAGUCGAGCGGAGCGGCGGACGGGUGAGUAAUGCCUAGGAAUCUGCCUGGUAGUGGGGGAUAAGUUCCGGAAACGGGCGCUAAUCCCGCUUCCUUUAGAAUAAGCCAAGGUCGGAUUAGCUAGUUGGUGGGGUAAAGGCCUACCAAGGCGACGACCCGUAACUGGUCUGAGAGGAUGAUCAGUCACACUGGAACUGAGACACGGUCCAGACUCCUACGGGAGGCAGCAGUGGGGAAUAUUGGACAAUGGGCGAAAGCCUGAUCCAGCCAUGCCGCGUGUGUGAAGAAGGUCUUCGGAUUGUAAAGCACUUUAAGUUGGGAGGCGUUACCAACAGAAUAAGCACCGGCUAACUUCGUGCCAGCAGCCGCGGUAAUAC
rnacentral:rRNA from 1 species